AUGCCUACUUGCAAUGGCCUAACUAAUGACUCUAGGACUGGAUUGUUUGGGAAGGAAAGAGAGGGGAGGGGAGAGUCCUCACAACUACCUGAGAAUUCUAAUCUUACACAUCAACCUCUGCCAAAGGGAGGAGCGGUUUGGCCAUCACAGGGGUUCUCUGUCAGCAGCUCAAGGGCAAUGAGAUUCCCAGCUGGGGUUUUAAUGAGUUGGCAUAGUUUUCAAGGGAGCUAGGAAAAAUUCUCAAUCUUUAGAGACACCUGCAAGUGAGUAUGAUAAUGAACGUGAUUUUUAAAGAUUAUAUAACCGUUGAAAUAAAAUCCAUGAGAAAUCAGAUGCUAGACUUAUA
rnacentral:lncRNA from 12 species